rnacentral:lncRNA from 1 species
AUGGAGAAAUGAUGCAAGCAAACAAUCAUUGUGUUUUCACCCGACUUCCUCCAGUCACAAGAGUGUCGUGUGCAGCAAAGAUUCAUCGAAAGCAUAAACAUUGGUGCUGUGGUUCGUGAACUUUGGUGCAAACUGUCCUAGACUGACAGUAAUUUUGGUGGUAUUGCAUUUUCUCUCGGCAGAGCAAGCGCUGCA